AUUUCCGCAAAAAGAUUCCCAAGCCAUCAAGUCUGUGCCUAUUUGGAAUUUGUAUGAGUCCCUUUCUCCCUCAAUGGCCACAGCCAUGGAACUUAAUCCUUCUCCUGGCCCUCUUCAUUUCUGGGUUGUUUGCGAAUGGAAUCACAUGGCACGCCCAGGCUUUUGUCUGUCCUCUUCAUCCUACAGCACAGCAUUAUUUGAAAGCCCGCACACCCAUUGUCCCUUCUUAUUGGUAAAGUCGAGGUACAUUAGCAGGGCCUAGUGGGACUGCAUUCCUGAGACCGGAUCCAGUAGCCUACCAGCCUUCCAAUCCCAGGCCCUUCUUCUAAGGUUCUUCUCCGUCUAUUCUUCAUCCUCAUCAACCAUUGAGGUACCUUUUCAAAGUUUGACCCUACAAGGUGUGUGGGCGUGAAUGUGUGUGUCUAUGUGUGUGUGUCUGUCUCUGUGUGU